GCCUCUCCUGAAACAAUCAAAAUAAUGCUAGUGAGCGCUCUCGAGAUUGAGAUUUUCAGGCGAGUUUUACUCGCUACGUGUCAUCAUGAGAAAUUCAUCUUUUCUCUUUCUUUCAAACUUUUUUGAUCUUUUCAUUUUUAGAUGAUGGAGAUAAUUCAAGUUAAUUGCGUACUAUUGAUGACGUACGAGAUAAAGAAGAAAAAAUAUUACAUAUACCAUGUACUUUGUAUGAAUAAUCUGUUUGUGUUUGGAUCAAGCUCAGACAGCAUUAUAAAUAAUUGUUUCAGGCUGGAAAUAAAAAGUAUGCUUUUCCCUCGAUUUUUUUAAUUUCAAAUCUUUAUAGACAUGCUGCUUGGGUUUGGAAUUUCACUUUCUACCGUUCCAUGUUUUGAGUCAUUUAAACUUUGUCCUUCGACGUGGUAUUUCUCAUUGAAAAAGAAUUCAACGGUCUCAAGCUUUUUCGAAGAUUAGAUUUUGCCCGAUUCUAGCCUUUUUUUCUCUACUCUUAUCAAAUUAUUUUGAACUUUGAACAAGCAAUCGAGUUUUCAAUGUGGAGAAAAUACUAUAAUUAACAUUACGCUUAACCGCUUGAUGGAGAUCAAUUAACUUGCUCAGAACUUGUUAUGUUGUAACAAUAUUUUUCAUAAUUUUCACCAUUUAUAACGUAGGUCAAUGAAUUUCGAAUUUAUCAGUAUUCGAAUCAUGUGGAAAGUAAAAAAUAAAAAGCAAUCCAAAGUGUGUAAAAAUCAUUGAAAUAGCACUCCACUCCUUGGCACAAUAAACAUUGACUUUUAUUCUUUCAGCUUCUUAUUUCUCAUACAUACAUAUUUUGUCAAAAAAUAAGCUGAUAAGAAGCUGUCAGAAAAAUACUGAUAAUAAGCUAAUAAGCGUAAGAAUGCUGCAUCGAGGCAAUGGAAAUCACUGCAUUUAAAAUGAGAGAAUCGACGGAGAACCGAAUAUUCAUUUCACGUUGAACGUCGAACGAUAACGAGGCCAAAGAAAGCUGUGAUAAUCUUAAUGAAUAUAAGGAUUGAAAAAAAAUAGGAAUGAUUCAAAAGCAACUGUUUCCAUAUCGUAGCAUAUAUUUGCAUGGAUUAAAAUUGGUGCGAGCCCAAAACCCAUUAAAAAUCCAUCAUCCAGCAACUAAGACUCGGAUGAUGAAAAUUCAAUUUAAAUAUUAUCAAGGAAGGAAUAUUAUCAAUAUUCAAUAUUAUCAAGGAAGGAUAGUACUGUGUUAACGAUGGAUUUCUAAUGAAGCAGGUAAUUCAUUUUUCCUAACUCUGACAUGAUUCUAUAAACGAACAAAAACUUCAUAACCGAAGUGCAUGUACUGAGUUGGUGCUUAUUAUUCAUAUAAAGAAGGAUAAUUCUAAUGAAAACUAUGAAAUGUAGAAAUCAAUGCGAGAAUGAAAAUAUGAUGGUUGAUCGAACUUACAGAUUAAUAUUUUUCAGUAGUUGUCCUUUAACAAAGCCGUCAUAUUUUGUUGCAGUGGGUGUAAGGGCAACAGUUUCUUUACCCUCUGACUCAUAAACUCCGAGAACUAAUCCUUUCUGUAAAUAUGAGAAAUCAUGUGAAUGAACAAUAAAAGUACUUUCUCAAUUUCA